rnacentral:sRNA from 1 species
UUUGAUGUGCAAUUUAGGGAACUUCA